rnacentral:rRNA from 1 species
UGGGUACUGAGACAAGGGCCCAGGCCCUACGGGGCGCAGCAGUCGCGAAAACUUUGCAAUACACGAAAGUGUGACAGGGCUAUCCCGAGUGCCAUCCGCUGAGGAAGGCUUUUACCCAGUCUAGAAAGCUGGGGGAAUAAGGAGAGGGCAAGUCUGGUGUCAGCCGCCGCGGUAAUACCAGCUCUCCGAGUGGUGUGGAUGUUUAUUGGGCCUAAAGCAUCCGUAGCUGGCUAAGUUAGUCCCUUGUUAAAUCCACCGAAUUAAUCGUUGGAUUGCGGGGGAUACUGCUUGGCUAGGGGACGAGAGAGGCAGACGGUAUUUUCGGGGUAGGGGUGAAAUCUUAUAAUCCCGGGAAGACCACCAGUGGCGAAGGCUGUCUGCUAGAACGC